rnacentral:lncRNA from 1 species
GUAAAGACGUAUUCCAUCUCUAUGCGACCGAGAGGGUCACAAUGCCGACGCUUCACAUGGAACACCAGAACCCAAGAGAUAUGUCCAGAACACUCAAAAAAUCUUCAGUUCUUGAUCGACAAACAACGAGAGAGACAGCAUUAUUAUGGCAAGCUUUUCAUUCAUCUUCCCCGAAGACAGACGUUGUUCCAUUAAGGACAACGAAGUCAAUUCAGGGUGGAUGUCAACGGUAACCAAACUCAACACCCAUGGCGGUCCAGAGUCAGAGAGGCAGAACAUCCAUCAGUGCGUUGCAGAUGUACUUGGUGACAAGUACCACUACGCGAAUGCCAUUGACAGCUCUCUGCUCUGGACUGUUGGGUACACCCCCUACAUUCCCCCAGCUCUGAAAGGAAGAAACUUCCCCUCUGUCGAGAGCUUCUUCCUGGAUGAGUGGGAGCCACUGACACUCCUGCAGACUCCUCAGGUUCUGUCCACCAGUGUUUCCAUCCAGGAAGACAACCUGAUCCAGUCUGCUGCAGGCCUAGUGUCUCAGGUUCUGUCCACCAGUGUUUCCAUCGUGGAGAAUGACCUGAUCCAGUCUGCUGCAGGCCUAGUGUCUCAGGUUCUGUUCACCAGUGUUGCCAUCGUGGAGAAUGACCUGAUCCAGUCUGCUGCAGGCCUAGUGUCUCAGGUUCUGUCCACCAGUGUUUCCAUCGUGGAGAAUGACCUGAUCCAGUCUGCUGCAGGCCUAGUGUCUCAGGUUCUGUCCACCAGUGUUUCCAUCGUGGAGAGUGACCUGAUCCAGUCUGCUGCAGGUCUAGUGUCUCAGGUUCUGUCCACCAGUGUUGCCAUCGUGGAGAAUGACUUGAUCCAGUCUGCUGCAGGCCUAGUGUCUCAGGUUCUGUCCACCAGUGUUUCCAUCGUGGAGAAUGACCUGAUCCAGUCUGAUGCAGGCCUAGUGUCUCAGGUUCUGUCCACCAGUGUUGCCAUUGUGGAGAAUGACCUGAUCCAGUCUGCUGCAGUCCUAGUGUCUCAGGUUCUGUCCACCAGUGUUUCCAUCGUGGAAAAUGACCUGAUCCAGUCUGAUGCAGGCCUAGUGUCUCAGGUUCUGUCCACCAGUGUUGCCAUCGUGGAGAAUGACCUGAUCCAGUCUGCUGCAGGCCUAGUGUCUCAGGUUCUGUCCACCAGUGUUUCCAUCGUGGAGAAUGACCUGAUCCAGUCUGCUGCAGGCCUAGUGUCUCAGGUUCUGUCCACCAGUGUUUCCAUCGUGGAGAGUGACCUGAUCCAGUCUGCUGCAGGUCUAGUGUCUCAGGUUCUGUCCACCAGUGUUGCCAUCGUGGAGAAUGACUUGAUCCAGUCUGCUGCAGGCCUAGUGUCUCAGGUUCUGUCCACCAGUGUUUCCAUCGUGGAGAAUGACCUGAUCCAGUCUGAUGCAGGCCUAGUGUCUCAGGUUCUGUCCACCAGUGUUGCCAUUGUGGAGAAUGACCUGAUCCAGUCUGCUGCAGUCCUAGUGUCUCAGGUUCUGUCCACCAGUGUUUCCAUCGUGGAAAAUGACCUGAUCCAGUCUGAUGCAGGCCUAGUGUCUCAGGUUCUGUCCACCAGUGUUACCAUCGUGGAGAAUGACCUGAUCCAGUCUGCUGCAGGUCUAGUGUCUCAGGUUCUGUCCACCAGUGUUACCAUCGUGGAGAAUGACCUGAUCCAGUCUGCUGCAGGCCUAGUGUCUCAGGUUCUGUCCACCAGUGUUUCCAUCGUGGAAAAUGACCUGAUCCAGUCUGAUGCAGGCCUAGUGUCUCAGGUUCUGUCCACCAGUGUUACCAUCGUGGAGAAUGACCUGAUCCAGUCUGCUGCAGGCCUAGUAUCUCAGGUUCUGUCCACCAGUGUUUCCAUCGUGGAGAAUGACCUGAUCCAGUCUGCUGCAGGUCUAGUGUCUCAGGUUCUGUCCACCAGUGUUUCCAUCGUGGAGAAUGACCUGAUCCAGUCUGCUGCAGGCCUAGUGUCUCAGGUUCUGUCCAGCAGUGACGCUAGAUUGAAGGAUCGUAUUGAUUCCACACUGAGAGACUCAAACCAACCUGAGGUCCAUGUGGCGGAUGUCUCAACCGAGAGAAGUAGACUAGUCAUCACUAUUUCUAUGUUUUCAACUGAGAGUUGCAAUGCUUCGGUCCAUGAAGUUGAUGCUAUUGCUACCAGCCUGGAGCACCCGGCUGAGAAAAUGUCUACCUCUACCGCUGAUGGCCACAUUGUUUCAUCCACUGCUGUUGCCAAUCAGAAGGAAACAAGGGGUGGAUUCGUCUCAUCUCUACGGAGACUGUUCACAAGAAAGAACAGGAAGCCUGUCAGUAAUUCUUAUAUAGUGUUUUGUAGUGUAAUAUGUUAUCAUUUAUUAACUAUUGUUAUACUAAUAUCCUGUGUUAAUGGUUGUCUUUAA